rnacentral:tRNA from 1 species
CGCGGGAUGGCGCAGCCAGGUAGCGCAGCGGGUUCAUACCCCGCAGGUCAUCGGUUCAAAUCCGUUUCCCGCCA